GACGAACGCUGGCGGCGUGCUUAACACAUGCAAGUCGAACGGAAAGGCCCUGCUUUUGUGGGGUGCUCGAGUGGCGAACGGGUGAGUAACACGUGAGUAACCUGCCCUUGACUUUGGGAUAACUUCAGGAAACUGGGGCUAAUACCGGAUAGGAGCUCCUGCUGCAUGGUGGGGGUUGGAAAGUUUCGGCGGUUGGGGAUGGACUCGCGGCUUAUCAGCUUGUUGGUGGGGUAGUGGCUUACCAAGGCUUUGACGGGUAGCCGGCCUGAGAGGGUGACCGGCCACAUUGGGACUGAGAUACGGCCCAGACUCCUACGGGAGGCAGCGGUGGGGAAUAUUGCGCAAUGGGCGGAAGCCUGAUGCAGCAACGCCGCGUGCGGGAUGACGGCCUUCGGGUUGUAAACCGCUUUCGCCUGUGACGAAGCGUGAGUGACGGUAAUGGGUAAAGAAGCACCGGCUAACUACGUG
rnacentral:rRNA from 1 species